rnacentral:rRNA from 1 species
GAUGAACGCUGGCGGCGUGCCUAAUACAUGCAAGUCGAGCGAACAGACGAGGAGCUUGCUCCUCUGACGUUAGCGGCGGACGGGUGAGUAACACGUGGAUAACCUACCUAUAAGACUGGGAUAACUUCGGGAAACCGGAGCUAAUACCGGAUAAUAUAUUGAACCGCAUGGUUCAAUAGUGAAAGACGGUUUUGCUGUCACUUAUAGAUGGAUCCGCGCCGCAUUAGCUAGUUGGUAAGGUAACGGCUUACCAAGGCGACGAUGCGUAGCCGACCUGAGAGGGUGAUCGGCCACACUGGAGCUGAGACACGGUCCAGACUCCUACGGGAGGCAGCAGUAGGGAAUCUUCCGCAAUGGGCGAAAGCUUGACGGAGCAACGCCGCGUGAGUGAUGAAGGUCUUCGGAUCGUAAAACUCUGUUAUUAGGGAAGAACAAAUGUGUAAGUAACUAUGCACGUCUUGACGGUACCUAAUCAGAAAGCCACGGCUAACUACGUG